rnacentral:rRNA from 1 species
CCCUGCCAUUUGUACACACCGCCCGUCGCACCUACCGAUUGAAUGGUUCGGUGAAAAUUUCGGACUGUGAUUUUAUUGCUUUCGGGCAAUUUUAUUAUAGAAAGUUAUUUAAACCUCAUCAUUUAGAGGAAGGU